GUUGGGGGCUGCUGGCUUUCCUUGUCUCCCUGGUGGCCAGCCACCAAGACCGGGAGGCAGCUAGCGUGGAGCAUCGAGACGGAGCCGAGAAGCGCGUGCGAAGUGCUGCUCUUGCCGGAAGCUGAGCCUGGGGGGCUUUUCACCUCAGUAGAAGCUGCAUGUCCGCGCCCCACGUGGCUCCGUCCACGCUCCGAACUGAGAUCCACCCGGGCUGCGAUUUGCCGCCUUCUGGGAAAACUGCCUCGAAGGAGCCCAGGAGGCCACCAGGAGCCUGCACGAGGAUGUUCUCAGCGGGCAGCAGCCCCACGCGACGGGAGGGCACACGCAGCUGAACUGUACGGUCCACAGCCCCUGGGCACACACAGUGCCCGGGUGCGCGAGCAGCGCCCGGAAGUGCGGGCAGCGCCCUGCAGCUCUUGUUGCCAGGCCCUAAGAGCCAUAACACCUGGGAGGUGGCCACCAGGGACACCGUGCACGUCACGGCCCUCCACUCGGCCAGGCUUCGGGACAGUCCCACUGGAAAGUCCAGCUGCGACCUGGGCCUUCAGAGAAACACUGACCCAGCAUAAAGAACAGUGUCCCUUAUCCCCGGGGCCACGCUCCACGCCUGCGUCUAAGGCAGGGCGCUGGGGUGGGGCGCCAAGGCGAGGGCACUGGGCCGCUGGGAUGGGCUUAUGCUCGCGGGCGACUCCCGCCAGCCACGCAUCAUGUCCCAGGACUGUGCCCCUCAGGCUGGGAUGUGUGUGUGUGGGGGGGGGGGGGUCCAAGGCCAACACCUCAUCGGCCCAUCUGUGCCGGCAGCUCGGAUCCGCACAGCCCUGGGACCAGACCGCAGACAGGCCGCACCUCCGAGGCGACAGCGCCAUCAGCCUGGCUCCCCUCUGCACCAGGACCCCCGCUCAAGGGCCAGGAAGCAGUGGGCCCAGGGCUCCCAAACCACCUCGGCACCAAGCGCUCGGCCUCACUCUGAGUCCCCGGGCGGACAUCCAGACCAAGGCAGGAUCCCACUCGCCCCCAGCCUGGGCCGCGGGGCGGACGGCGCUUCCCUGCGAGACACCCCGACUCUCCCGGGCCCACGAUGUGCUGUGGACUGGGAACCGCUCCAGCCGUGCUGGCCUCAGCCAUCUUCCUUGUGCCAGAAAGGAGGGGGAGCCAGAGAGAAAGGAGGUGAGGGGGGACACGGUUUAG
rnacentral:lncRNA from 1 species